rnacentral:rRNA from 1 species
UACAGAGGUGGCAAGCGUUGUUCGGAAUUACUGGGCGUAAAGGGCGCGUAGGCGGCCUUCUAAGUCGGACGUGAAAGCCCCAGGCUUAACCUGGGAACUGCGUCCGAUACUGGAAGGCUUGGAUUCGGGAGAGGGAUGUGGAAUUCCAGGUGUAGCGGUGAAAUGCGUAGAUAUCUGGAGGAACACCGGUGGCGAAGGCGGCAUCCUGGACCAACACUGACGCUGAGGAGCGAAAGCCAGGGGAGCAAACGGG